rnacentral:rRNA from 1 species
AAUCAACGCUGGCGGCGUGCCUCAGACAUGCAAGUCGAACGAUUAAGACUCCCUUCGGGGAGUGUAUAAAGUGGCGCACGGGUGAGUAACACGUAGGUAAUGUACCGUAGGGUGGGGAAUAACGUAGGGAAAAUUAAGCUAAUACCGCAUAAUGCAGCGGCUCGACAUCGCGACAGUGGUUAAAGGAUCAAUCCGCCUUAUGAGCAGCCUGCGGCAGAUUAGCUUGUUGGUAAGGUAAUGGCUUACCAAGGCUACGAUCUGUAACCGACCUGAGAGGGUGGUCGGUCACACUGACACUGAAUAACGGGUCAGACUCCUACGGGAGGCAGCAGUCGGGAAUUUUGGGCAAUGGGCGAAAGCCUGACCCAGCAACGCCGCGUGAAGGACGAAGUCUUUCGGGAUGUAAACUUCGUAAGAAUAGGAAGAAUAAAUGACGGUACUAUUUGUAAGGUCCGGCUAACUACGUGCCAGCAGCCGCGGUAAAAC